rnacentral:rRNA from 1 species
UUGUGCGAGACCGAUAGCGAACAAGUACCGUGAGGGAAAGAUGAAAAGAACUCUGAAAAGAGAGUUAAAGAGUACCUGAAACUGCUGAAAGGGAACCGAAUCGUUUCCAGUGUCUAUAAUCCAUGGCAUAUUUCAUUGGCGAGUGAGUGCGUGCAGCGUUUUGGAAGUGGUUCUCCGCUCCUGUCGUUGUUGUGCAUUUGCUUGCUGGUGCCCUGUGCUGUGGUGGGACGUCAGAGUCAGUUUGUGUGUUGCGGGAAAUGGUUAUUGGGGAGGUAGGUCAUUUCGGUGGCUAUUAUAUCCUGGUAACUAGUCGUCGUGGCUGAGACUGAGGUGCCUACAACGUGCUUUCGAGUGUGCGGGUUUCUCGUGUGGCUGUUUGCUUUGAUAGCUUGCUAUGUUGGCGAAUAAGUCGUGCGAUUGAGAUUUGUAUUAACUUGUUGCUGUUCGGGACUUUGAA